GCCCGUAUGACAUCUUUGCCUCUCUAGGGUUUUUGUUUCUCUCAUUGCUUUGAUUGUGAGAACCCAGCAGCAGCCGCGUCUCUCUCUCCAUCCUUAGCUACUUCAGAAUGGAUAGUCAAAUUAAGCAUGCUGUGGUGGUGAAAAUUAUGGGAAGGACUGGAUCUCGAGGACAGGUUACUCAGGUUAGAGUCAAGUUUAUUGAUGACCAGAACCGUUUCAUAAUGAGGAACGUCAAGGGACCUGUUAGAGAAGGUGACAUUCUUACCUUGCUUGAGUCUGAGAGAGAAGCUAGGAGACUCCGUUGAUGGGCAUCAUGCUGUUUUGGUACAAGAUUGUCAUCCUAGUUUUGCUGGUAAUCAAUCAGGACUGUUUUGUUCUGUACUAGCUAGUGAGUGCUCAUUGUUUUUGCUUACAGUUUGAUUAUCAAGACUGGGAUUCGGGAUUUAUGAGUCAUAUGUAAGAAUGCUUUGCAUGUCUUAAGUUCAGUUCAAACCUGCAAGUCUUGUUAAAAUUAAGUUUUCUGCAACUUAUAAUGCCUUGCUUUUUUCAAUUCAAUACCUGUUAUCUCAGCAUAAAAGUCCUGAUUUUGGGAUAUGGGACUCCCGUCUUCCAUGUAUGGUUUUCUUGUA